UCAAGCGAAGAAGAGCACAUGGAGAAUGCCUUGGCAUUAGGAGCCGAAGAAGGACGUGACAAGCUGCGAUAAGCUGCGGGAAGGUGCAAAUGACUAUAGAUCCGCAGAUUUCCGAAUGGGGAAACCCGGCAAAGCAAUACUUUGUCAGCAUAUACUGAAUAAAUAGGUAUAUGUGGGGAGACCCGCUGAACUGAAACAUCUAAGUAGGCGGAGGAAGAGAAAUCAAAAGAGAUUUUCUGAGUAGCGGCGAGCGAAAGGGAAAGAGGCCAAACCGAUGGUAGUAAUACUGUCGGGGUUGAGGACUGCGAAACGCAUUCGGAGUUGAUAGUAGAAUUGACUGGGAAGUCAAGCCAAAGAGGGUAAGAGCCCCGUAAACGAAAUUGACGAAGAGCGAGCAGGAUCCAGAGUACUGCCGGACACGAGAAACCCGGUGGGAAGCAGGGUAGACCACUAUCCAAGCCUAAAUACUACCUAAUGACCGAUAGAGAAGCAGUACCGUGAGGGAAAGGUGAAAAGAACCCCGGGAGGGGAGUGAAAGAGAACCUGAAACCGUGUGCUUACAAGCAGUCGGAGCACGUUAAAGUGUGACGGCGUACUUUUUGUAGAACGGUCCGGCGAGUGUAUGUAUGUAGCAAGGUUAAGAGCUUAAGGUUCGAAGCCGCAGGGAGACCGAGUCUGAAUAGGGCGAAAGAGUUGCAUGUAUACGACCCGAAACCGAGUGACCUACCCAUGGACAGGUUGAAGCUAGAGUAAAAUCUGGUGGAGGACCGAACCCACGUAUGUUGAAAAAUGCGGGGAUGAGCUGUGGGUAGCGGAGAAAUUCCAAUCGAACUCGGAUAUAGCUGGUUCUCCCCGAAAUAGCUUUAGGGCUAGCCUCGGAUUAGUUUAGCGGAGGUAAAGCACUGAAUGGGCUAGGGGGCGUAUAGCUUACUGAACCCUAUCAAACUCAGAAUGCCGCAAAAAUGAUGUCCGGGAGUCAGACUACGGGAGAUAAGUUUCGUGGUCGAAAGGGAAACAGCCCAGACCCACAGCUAAGGUCCCAAAAUAGGUUUAAGUGGAAAAGGAUGUCUAGUUGCAGAGACAACUAGGACGUUGGCUUAGAAGCAGCCAUACAUUUAAAGAGUGCGUAAUAGCUCACUAGUCGAGUGAAUAGGCGCCGAAAAUUUAACGGGGCUAAAACCUAUACCGAAGCUUGGGAAUGUAACUUAGGUUACAUUGGUAGGGGAGCAUUCUAUUAUAGGGAGAAGCAUGACCGGAAGGACAUGUGGACGAGAUAGAAGAGAGAAUGCCGGAAUGAGUAGCGAGAAUUAUGUGAGAAUCAUAAUGGUCGAAAACCUAAGGUUUCUUGAGGAAGGUUCGUCCGCUCAAGGUAAGCCGGGAGCUAAGGCGAGGCCGAAAGGCGUAGUCGAUGCACAUACGGUAGAAAUUCCGUAGCCACCGAAAUUGUUAAGCACAGGGACGCAGGAACAUAAUCCAACCGCACCGAUGGUCGAGUGCGGCGAAAGGGAGCGAAAAUUAAGUAGCGAAGUGGAUGAUUGUACACUGACGAGAAAAGCUGUGUGUAUUGAUGAGGUGCCCGUACCGUAAACCGACACAGGUGGGUGAGGAGAGAAUCCUAAGACCAGCGGGAGAAGUGUUGUUAAGGAACUCGGCAAAUUGACCCCGUAACUUCGGGAAAAGGGGUGCCUGCUAGCGCAGGCCGCAGAGAAUAGGCCCAAGCGACUGUUUAGCAAAAACACAGGUCUCUGCUAAAUCGAAAGAUGAAGUAUAGGGGCUGACGCCUGCCCGGUGCCGGAAGGUUAAGAGGAGGACUUAGCGCAAGCGAAGGUCUGAAUUGAAGCCCCGGUAAACGGCGGCCGUAACUAUAACGGUCCUAAGGUAGCGAAAUUCCUUGUCAGGUAAGUUCUGACCCGCACGAAUGGCGUAACGAUUUGGGCACUGUCUCAACAGCCCGCCCGGCGAAAUUGUAGUACCGGUGAAGAUGCCGGUUACCCGCGACUAGACGGAAAGACCCCAUGGAGCUUUACUGUAGC
rnacentral:rRNA from 1 species